rnacentral:lncRNA from 1 species
UCAUGCUUAUUUUUCAACAAUUUAUAUUUUCUACUAAUUAUUUUGCAUUCAUCAAAUAAGUCAAUGAAGGCAUUUAAUAAUUCAUCAAAUGAUAAAUCUACAUCAAUUAAAUUUGUUACCUCUUCUCCGAUGGCCAUUAAGGCAUAAUAAGCAACUUGCUCGGUGUUGGACUCCUCUUCUUCGGACGUGCUCGAGUCAUCCCACAUCGCUUUGAGCGCCUUCUUCUUUGAUGUUCUCUUCUUGGCUUGGGGACAAUCACUUUUGUAGUGUCCCGACUUUUUGCAUUCGUAGCAAAUAACUUGGUCCUUUUUGGGUUCAAGUUUAUUUUUUGUCACUUUUAAACUUGUUUCUCUUAAUGAAUAUUUUGAAUUUCCUUGUUAGAAGUGCCAAG